AUGUGGCCUCAAAUCAGGUAGGACUACCCGCUGAACUUAAGCAUAUC
rnacentral:rRNA from 1 species